CCAUCUUACUGGGCAGCAUUGGAUGGUGUCUGGUCUCUAAUACUGCCUGGUAAUGAUGA
ensembl:miRNA MIR200B microRNA 200b